rnacentral:lncRNA from 1 species
UGCGUGUUUCGCGAGGAGGUUUUCUCAGACCUCUCUGUCCCAACAUGGCCUGGCUGUUGGUGUUGCACCAUGAGCACAGAUAACCCUUCCCUGGAACAACCCCAUUCUGCGGGAUUGAAGCUCACCAAGCCCUCAGACCUCAUCAAGACUCUUUGUCCAGCAUGGAAAAGAAGGAUUUCCCCCCUCCUUCAAACCUCCCUAUCACUUGCUCAGAGGCUCAGGUGUGUUCUGGCUGUGUCUGUGCUGGGGAGGGAUCAGCAGGACAACAGGAGUUUCUGGCCCAGAUGGCCUCCAUCCUUUUCUGUUACCUAGCUGAAACCAGAGGAGCUUUUAACUGAGAACAAAUGAUUUUAGGCCCUCUUCAUGCUGCCACACUUUGAAAAUGUUAUUCCCCAAUGCCUGGUGUGCCUGUAACAUGUUUUAACUUCUAUGUGAGUAAAUGCUGGGCUCUUGCAGGUCUGCAGCACAGCUCCUGG